GUCAGGAUGGCCGAGCUGUCCAAGGCGCUGCGUUCAGGUUGCAGUCUGGUUCUCCAGGCGUCUGUUCAAAUCCCACUCCCGACG
rnacentral:tRNA from 1 species